rnacentral:rRNA from 1 species
UACGGGGGGGGCAAGCGUUGUUCGGAAUUACUGGGCGUAAAGGGCGCGUAGGCGGCCAUCUAAGUCAGACGUGAAAUCCCCCGGCUUAACCGAGGAACUGCGUCCGAUACUGAAAGGCUUGAAUCCGGGAGAGGGAUGUGGAAUUCCAGGUGUAGCGGUGAAAUGCGUAGAUAUCUGGAGGAACACCGGUGGCGAAGGCGGCAUCCUGGACCGGUAUUGACGCUGAGGCGCGAAAGCUAGGGGAGCAAACGGG